UGGUGGGGUAAUGGCCCACCAAGGCGACGAUUGGUAGCUGUUCUGAGAGGAAGAUCAGCCACACUGGAACUGAGACACGGUCCAGACUCCUACGGGAGGCAGCAGUGGGGAAUAUUGGACAAUGGGGGAAACCCUGAUCCAGCCAUGCCGCGUGAAUGAUGAAGGCCCUAGGGUUGUAAAGUUCUUUCAACGGUGAAGAUGAUGACGGUAGCCGUAGAAGAAGCCCCGGCUAACUCCGUGCCAGCAGCCGCGGUAAUACGGAGGGGGCGAGCGUUGUUCGGAAUUACUGGGCGUAAAGGGCGUGUAGGCGGACUGUUAAGUUAGGGGUGAAAUCCCAGGGCUCAACCCUGGAACUGCCUCUAAUACUGGCGGUCUUGAGAUUUGGAGAGGUGUGUGGAAUUCCUAGUGUGGAGGUGAAAUUCGUAGAUAUUAGGAAGAACACCAGUGGCGAAGGCGGCACACUGGCCAACAUCUGACGCUGAGGCGCGAAAGCGUGGGGAGCAAACAGGAUUAGAU
rnacentral:rRNA from 1 species